AUGAACGCUAGCUACAGGCUUAACACAUGCAAGUCGAGGGGCAGCAUGGUCUUAGCUUGCUAAGGCCGAUGGCGACCGGCGCACGGGUGAGUAACACGUAUCCAACCUGCCGUCUACUCUUGGACAGCCUUCUGAAAGGAAGAUUAAUACAAGAUGGCAUCAUGAGUCCGCAUGUUCACAUGAUUAAAGGUAUUCCGGUAGACGAUGGGGAUGCGUUCCAUUAGAUAGUAGGCGGGGUAACGGCCCACCUAGUCUUCGAUGGAUAGGGGUUCUGAGAGGAAGGUCCCCCACAUUGGAACUGAGACACGGUCCAAACUCCUACGGGAGGCAGCAGUGAGGAAUAUUGGUCAAUGGGCGAGAGCCUGAACCAGCCAAGUAGCGUGAAGGAUGACUGCCCUAUGGGUUGUAAACUUCUUUUAUAAAGGAAUAAAGUCGGGUAUGGAUACCCGUUUGCAUGUACUUUAUGAAUAAGGAUCGGCUAACUCCGUGCCAGCAGCCGCGGUAAUACGGAGGAUCCGAGCGUUAUCCGGAUUUAUUGGGUUUAAAGGGAGCGUAGAUGGAUGUUUAAGUCAGUUGUGAAAGUUUGCGGCUCAACCGUAAAAUUGCAGUUGAUACUGGAUAUCUUGAGUGCAGUUGAGGCAGGCGGAAUUCGUGGUGUAGCGGUGAAAUGCUUAGAUAUCACGAAGAACUCCGAUUGCGAAGGCAGCCUGCUAAGCUGCAACUGACAUUGAGGCUCGAAAGUGUGGGUAUCAAACAGGAUUAGAUACCCUGGUAGUCCACACGGUAAACGAUGAAUACUCGCUGUUUGCGAUAUACUGCAAGCGGCCAAGCGAAAGCGUUAAGUAUUCCACCUGGGGAGUACGCCGGCAACGGUGAAACUCAAAGGAAUUGACGGGGGCCCGCACAAGCGGAGGAACAUGUGGUUUAAUUCGAUGAUACGCGAGGAACCUUACCCGGGCUUAAAUUGCAGAUGAAUUACGGUGAAAGCCGUAAGCCGCAAGGCAUCUGUGAAGGUGCUGCAUGGUUGUCGUCAGCUCGUGCCGUGAGGUGUCGGCUUAAGUGCCAUAACGAGCGCAACCCUUGUUGUCAGUUACUAACAGGUUCCGCUGAGGACUCUGACAAGACUGCCAUCGUAAGAUGUGAGGAAGGUGGGGAUGACGUCAAAUCAGCACGGCCCUUACGUCCGGGGCUACACACGUGUUACAAUGGGGGGUACAGAAGGCGGCUACCUGGUGACAGGAUGCUAAUCCCAAAAACCUCUCUCAGUUCGGAUCGAAGUCUGCAACCCGACUUCGUGAAGCUGGAUUCGCUAGUAAUCGCGCAUCAGCCACGGCGCGGUGAAUACGUUCCCGGGCCUUGUACACACCGCCCGUCAAGCCAUGGGAGCCGGGGGUACCUGAAGUGCGUAACCGCGAGGAGCGCCCUAGGGUAAAACUGGUGACUGGGGCU
rnacentral:rRNA from 1 species